GAUCUUUUGCUCCUGGGUUUGGUUGGUGCUUGUUUUGAGAUUGUGCCCCUCUGGAGUUCACCCUGUACUGAAGUUUGUUUGGUGGCCAGUUUGUCUUGUUGUUUGCUUUGGUGUUUCCUGGGGCCACGGUUGUCUUUUGCACAGGUGACCAGAGCAGGGAGGAUUCAUAAUGCGUUCGGUGGGAAUCCUGUGCUGACUGCUCGGCUUAGUCCGGCUAGUGCAGAUCUCUCUAGAUGGCCUAAGCUGUCCCCUCGAGUUUUGUGUUGGCUCUUUUGUGCUUGAGCUGUGUUUCUUCCGGCUUAGGGGGACGACUCGCCGAUGGGUUUUGGUUGGCCGUAAUCUGUGGCGGCGGCUUUCCCGUCCCCUUAACUGUGGUUCUUGUUUUUUUUUGGUUUCGUUAGGUGGUAUUGCGUCCUUACAUUGGUCCCUUGUUGUACUGUCUUUUCGUUCACCUAGUUUUGUAACAACUUUUCUUUCUUUCUUUUCAAUAAAAUUUUCAUUACAGCANAUAGUUUAAAUUACAUGGUUUUUGUCUUACUCACUAAUUAGAUCUAAUCAGAUUUCAAGUCGGCUAAUAGUCUGGCUUUUCGCCUUUCUUCAAGUUUGGCUUUUCAUAUUUGAGAGCUCGAAACCCGAGUUUCUUUUUGACCUGCAAUCUCAUUUAAGAUAAUUUAUGAAUAUUUAUCGUUCGUUUUGGGCUAUAAAUCAACUAUUGGACUUAAAAUUAGAUAUUGGCUUUUGAGCCUUUACUCAUAAAUCGAGCUUUUUAGACAAAAACAUGGACCGCCAGAAAACAUCAUCAUCAAUAGUUUCACCAUCACAGGCACACCACAAAUUCAAAAAAGAUAAUCUAGUAGAGCAUUGUUUUGAGAACCAUCACACCAUGCAACAUAAUUAAAUAAAAAUAAAAACAUGUGGAUUAUGGUUUCGCCAUCACAGGCACACCAUAAACAGUUAUGAUAACAUUAUCACCAUGCAUCAGUAAUCAACUCCAUGAAAUAGGUCGGUGCAAUAUCAUUGAUGGUACUCGGCUAUCUUAGUUGAUGUCAAUGUGGUCUACCAAAAAACCGGCACACAAAGCUUCAAGGAACUUGAUCGCCAAUAUACCGCAAUCAUGCAAGUUUUCCUGGAGCGGUAUCCUGUCGUAGAAUGUGACUUUUCCAAACGUCCUUAACAGGAUGUGGAAUGUAAAUGUCUUAAUUAACUCCAACAGCACUACAGAGCCAUGCAACCGACUUUCCCACAUGUUGAAAAUAAAGUACUGUGAUUGUUUCAUUGCUAAGGCCAAGGUCAUAAAGUACCUAGUGGUUUUGAUUCACAUAAGCUACUCUGUAAACACAGUCGCAGGAUUUUCAUGGAACAUCAUGUUGUUUGACGUACUUCAAGUAUUUCAUAAGGCAUCCUGGAGUUCAAUAUGAUCUGGACAAUAAUAGGGUAGAUAACAGAUCAUCAGUACUUCCUAAGGUACGGAGUUUCUUGGAGACAUGGUUGGAGACAUGUUUGGAUCGAGACUGACUGCGCUUAUUUGGUGGAUCUUUUCAGUUCUCGGUCAAACACGGUUCCUUGGAGGUUCUUCAGUCGCUGGCGUAAGGUUCUCUCUUCCCUUGCUGGUUUUCAUUUUAUUAUCACUCACAUCUACAGGGAAGGGAACCGGGUUGCAGAUUGUUUGGCUUCUUCUGUAGCGGAGGAAGGCUAUUGGAAUUUUACGAUCCCGGAUAUCCUACAGUUGGUGAAGGAUGACAGGCGGCAACUUCCUUACAUUCGGGUUGUCACUUGAGCUUGGUCUCCUUGGGGCACUGGUUUGUGUUUGUUUUGGUUGUUGAUCUGGUUCUUUUGGUCCUGCUGUCCGGGUGUUGGGAAGGUUUCCAAAGUUUGGGUAGUCACACUUGGCGGUCCUUGCUUGUCGUGAUUUGUCCGGUAGAUGCUAGCAGGAGUGUCUUCACUCGAUAAGCUUAAUUCUUCUCUGGUUUUGGAGUUUGCUGCUGGUCUCUGCUCCUCUGAUGGAUCCUCAUUAUGAGCAUGGGAAACCGCGCGGGAAAACUUGGGUUACCACCAAUGGUUUCAUCCCGUGAUUAUGACCUUAAAAGCACGUGCUUAAUAAGUUUGAGAAUUGAUUAUAAAAGUAAUUGCUUUAGGAGAUUCACUGCUAGCGGAGAACUGGGUCUGAUCGUCUUGUUUGGUCUUCUCGCUGUGACGUCCCUUGCUUUUGUUCUUCCCUUCAUCUGUGAUGGUUGGAUCUUUUGCUCCUGGGUUUGGUUGGUGCUUGUUUUGAGAUUGUGCCCCUCUGGAGUUCACCCUGUACUGAAGUUUGUUUGGUGGCCAGUUUGUCUUGUUGUUUGCUUUGGUGUUUCCUGGGGCCACGGUUGUCUUUUGCACAGGUGACCAGAGCAGGGAGGAUUCAUAAUGCGUUCGGUGGGAAUCCUGUGCUGACUGCUCGGCUUAGUCCGGCCAGUGCAGAUCUCUCUAGAUGGCCUAAGCUGUCCCCUCGGGUUUUGUUGUUGGCUCUUUUGUGCUUGAGCUGUGUUUCUUCCGGCUUAGGGGGACGACUCGCCGAUGGGUUUUGGUUUGGCCGUAAUCUGUGGCGGCGGCUUUCCCGUCCCCCUUAACUGUGGUUCUGUUUUUUUUGGUUUUUCGUUAGGUGGUAUUGCGCCUUACAUUGGUCCCUUGUUGUACUGCUUUUCGUUUCACCAGUUUUGUAACAACUUUUCUUUCUUUCUUUUCAAUAAAAUUUUCAUUACAG
rnacentral:lncRNA from 1 species